rnacentral:rRNA from 1 species
AGUCGAACGGCAGCACGGGUGCUUGCACCUGGUGGCGAGUGGCGAACGGGUGAGUAAUACAUCGGAACAUGUCCUGUAGUGGGGGAUAGCCCGGCGAAAGCCGGAUUAAUACCGCAUACGAUCUAUGGAUGAAAGCGGGGGACCUUCGGGCCUCGCGCUAUAGGGUUGGCCGAUGGCUGAUUAGCUAGUUGGUGGGGUAAAGGCCUACCAAGGCGACGAUCAGUAGCUGGUCUGAGAGGACGACCAGCCACACUGGGACUGAGACACGGCCCAGACUCCUACGGGAGGCAGCAGUGGGGAAUUUUGGACAAUGGGCGAAAGCCUGAUCCAGCAAUGCCGCGUGUGUGAAGAAGGCCUUCGGGUUGUAAAGCACUUUUGUCCGGAAAGAAAUCCUUGGUUCUAAUAUAGCCGGGGGAUGACGGUACCGGAAGAAUAAGCACCGGCUAACUACGUGCCAGCAGCCGCGGUAAUACGUAGGGUGCGAGCGUUAAUCGGAAUUACUGGGCGUAAAGCGUGCGCAGGCGGUUUGCUAAGACCGAUGUGAAAUCCCCGGGCUCAACCUGGGAACUACAUUGGUGACUGGCAGGCUAGAGUAUGGCAGAGGGGGGUAGAAUUCCACGUGUAGCAGUGAAAUGCGUAGAGAUGUGGAGGAAUACCGAUGGCGAAGGCAGCCCCCUGGGCCAAUACUGACGCUCAUGCACGAAAGCGUGGGGAGCAAAC